rnacentral:piRNA from 1 species
UAAACACUUCAAAAAUUGUUU